GAUGAACGCUGGCGGCGUGCCUAAUACAUGCAAGUCGAGCGAAUGGAUUAAGAGCUUGCUCUUAUGAAGUUAGCGGCGGACGGGUGAGUAACACGUGGGUAACCUGCCCAUAAGACUGGGAUAACUCAGGGAAACCGGGGCUAAUACCGGAUAACAUUUUGAACCGCAUGGUUUGAAAUUGAAAGGCGGGUUCGGCUGUCACUGAUGGAUGGACCCGCGUAGCAGUAGAUAGUUGGUGAGGUAACAGCUCACCAAGGCAACGAUGCGUAGCCGACCUGAGAGGGUGAUCGGCCACACUGGGACUGAGACACGGCCCAGACUCCGACGGGAGGCAGCAGUAGGGAAUCUUCCGCAAUGGACGAAAGUCUGACGGAGCAACGCCGCGUGAGUGAUGAAGGCUUUCGGGUCGUAAGACUCUGUUGUCAGGGAAGAACAAGUGCUAGUUGAAUAAGCUGGCACCUUGACGGUACCUAACCAGAAAGCCACGGCUAACUACGUGCCAGCCGCCGCGGUAA
rnacentral:rRNA from 1 species